rnacentral:rRNA from 1 species
UACAGAGGGGGCAAGCGUUAUUCGGAAUUAUUGGGCGUAAAGGGCGCGUAGGCGGCUUUGCAAGUGACGGGUGAAAUCCCUCGGCUUAACCGAGGAACUGCCUGUCAAACUGCAUGGCUUGAGACCGGGAGAGGUGAGUGGAAUUCCCAGUGUAGCGGUGAAAUGCGCAGAUAUCAGGAGGAACACCAAUGGCGAAGGCAGCUCGCUGGGACGGUACUGACGCUGAGACGCGAAAGCGUGGGGAGCAAACAGG